rnacentral:rRNA from 1 species
GACGAACGCUGGCGGCGUGCUUAACACAUGCAAGUCGAACGGAAAGACCCUGCUUUUGUGGGGUGCUCGAGUGGCGAACGGGUGAGUAACACGUGAGUAACCUGCCCUUGACUUUGGGAUAACUUCAGGAAACUGGGGCUAAUACCGGAUAGGAGCUCCUGCUGCAUGGUGGGGGUUGGAAAGUUUCGGCGGUUGGGGAUGGACUCGCGGCUUAUCAGCUUGUUGGUGGGGUAGUGGCUUACCAAGGCUUUGACGGGUAGCCGGCCUGAGAGGGUGACCGGCCACAUUGGGACUGAGAUACGGCCCAGACUCCUACGGGAGGCAGCAGUGGGGAAUAUUGCACAAUGGGCGGAAGCCUGACGCAGCAACGCCGCGUGCGGGAUGACGGCCUUCGGGUUGUAAACCGCUUUCGCCUGUGACGAAGCGUGAGUGACGGUAAUGGGUAAAGAAGCACCGGCUAACUACGUG